AUUUAUAUAGUUUAAAAAAACAUUACAUUUUCACUGUAAAAUCGGAUAUUUUCCUAUAAAU
rnacentral:tRNA from 1 species